UAGGGUUCACAGUGUUUCAUUGCCAUGGCAACAAUGUAAAAUUGGACAUAACCUCAUAUAGAAAAGGCAUGAACUCUCGAGGUAUGGAAGUCACGGCCAACAGACUGGAUCUCAGCAUUCCUUUCCUCUCUUUUGUCCCAGGGGUCUGUCUGUGGCGUCCAUCCAGGUCGAACUCGCAGUUCCAUGUCCCAGGAUGAUUUGUGGGGCUCACUGAAGGGCGAAGUGGGAUUCCACCAG